GAAACUUACAAUGGAUACUGGACUAAAACAUAUAAAACCAGCUUACAGAAACUUACAAUGGAUAUAGGACUAAAACAUUUCGUUUCUGCUGCUAAAUCAAGAUUUCUGUGACGUCACACAACUUGAAAAUCGUUCAGUGGUGUACUUAUUCUUAUUCGAAAGGGUUUCUGUUAAAAUCACACAAUGUAUGUUCCCCUAAGCCUUUAAUAAACUAUACAUUUAUCUUCAUAAUUUUUGUAUGAAUAGCGAACUGUGCUACGCGUAUUAAGAUAUUUAUCUGUGAGUUGUGCUAUGCGUAUUAAGAUAUUAUUUGUGAAUUAUGCUACGCGUGUUAAGAUAAUUAUUUUUCUGUGAAAUGUGCUAUGCGUAUUAAGAUAUUUCUUUAUAUGUCAGUUAUGCUACGCGUAUUAAGAUAUUUAUCUGUGAGUUAUGCUACGCGUAUUAAGAUAUUAUUUGUGAAUUAUGCUACGUGUGUUAAGAUGUUUUGUUCUGUUUUUAUCUGUGAUAAUUCAAGAAAAUACUGGGAAUUUGUUCUGCCCUCUGAUCUCUAUUUACGUUUAUCGAGUACGCGUAUAAACAUUGUAUUCAAGAGGGCGAUAAUGUUCCUGUGUCUGAUGGUUCCAUUCGCAGUUCCGCUUCAAUGUCAUGUUUUGACUUUACAUGGUUUAGAUAACUGUUUAUUCCAUCAUCAAGAUCUAGGUUAUCAUAUUCUUAGUCUAUGCUUCAGGAUCAAGAUCCACAUUAACAUAGCCAUAAUUAAAUUGGGUUUUACUUCCUGGUCAAACUUAAUAGUCCCCCAUGUUUCUUUUUAAUAUGAUUAUAUACCCUGUUCAAAAUAAGUUCUCACGGCUCUACUUAAUGUGGUUCUGGUUCCCAGUCAAGCUGUAAGUCCUCACGGCUCUACUUAAUGGGAUUAUAUUUCCCAGUCAAGCUGAAGCCCUCACGGCUCUAUUUAAUGGGAUUAUACUUCCCAGUCAAGCUGUAAGUCCUCACGGCUCUAUUUAAUGGGAUUAUACUUCCCAGUCAAGCUGUAAGUCCUCACAGCUCUAUUUAAUGGUGUUCUACUUUGGCCAGCUUCUUUUUUAGUCCUAGUUUUAAGGUUCUACUUUUCGGUCGUACUAGUUAUCAUAUUUUUGGCGUCUUAACAGUGAAUAAAUCAUUAGCUUCUGAGUUCAAACUCAACUUUGGAAUGUUCUAAGGAAAUAUACAUUUGCAAUGGAAAAAAUUCGAUUUUGCCACGAUUAUAUGUAUAUAUAUAUAUGUAUGUGCACAUAUACACACCAAAAUGUAUUUCAUAUUUCAUGUAGGCCAUUACUGCUUGUCUACUUAUUAAAAGAACGUAUAUCGGAAACUGGAGAUUUGAAAACUUGUGAUAUUUUUCUUUAUGCAUAUAUAUAGUUGUGCCUUAUUGUAAGACCAUUGAGCUUUCUUUAAAAACAACAUAUGUUAAUUAAUUGGAUAUAUUUUGCUGUAAAAUAUUUUAAGUAUCAGUCAUAUUGGUUAUUUUAUUUACUAUACCUAUGUGUAUGUAACCUGUUAUUACAUCAACAACCUUAUGUUAAUAUCUCGUUUACUUUAAUAUCGUAUACGUAACAUGGCCAUACGUGUAACAAAUAAAGUGUUAGAUGGAAUGUUUCUUGGGAUUACUUUCAAACGAAGUGAAUAUUAGGUUUGUCAGAAAAAAAAA